rnacentral:rRNA from 1 species
GGUCAAGCUAAAAAGGGCGCAAGGUGAAUGCCUUGGCACUGGGAGCCGAUGAAAGACGUGGUAAGCUGCGAAAAGCUUCGGGGAGGAGCAAACAUCCAUUGAUCCGGAGAUAUCUGAAUGGGGCAACCCAAUGGAGUUCAUACUCCAUUAUCCAAUACUGAAUCCAUAGGUAUUGGAAGGGAACCGCCUGAACUGAAACAUCUAAGUAGGGCGAGGAAGAGACAUCAAACGAGAUUCCGUAAGUAGUGGCGAGCGAACGCGGAAGAGGGCAAACCGAGAGGAGAAAUCCUUUCGGGGUACGGACUGCUUUUAAGACUGGAAGAGUUAACAGAAUGGCAUGGGAAGGCCAACCGAAGAGUGUGAGAGUCACGUAAGUAAAAAUUCUGAC